rnacentral:rRNA from 1 species
UACGGAGGAUGCAAGCGUUAUCCGGAAUGAUUGGGCGUAAAGCGUCCGCAGGUGGCAAUGUAAGUCUGCUGUCAAAGCGUCUGGCUCAACCAGAUAAAGGCAGUGGAAACUACAUAGCUAGAGUAAGGUAGGGGUAGAGGGAAUUCCUGGUGUAGCGGUGGAAUGCGUAGAGAUCAGGAAGAACACCGGUGGCGAAAGCGCUCUGCUGGACCUUAACUGACACUGAGGGACGAAAGCUAGGGGAGCGAAUGGG